rnacentral:rRNA from 1 species
AAACCAACAGGGAUUGCCUCAGUAACGGCGAGUGAAGCGGCAAAAGCUCAAAUUUGAAAUCUAGCACCUUCGGUGUUCGAGUUGUAAUUUGAAGAUGGUAACCUUGGGUUUGGCUCUUGUCUAUGUUCCUUGGAACAGGACGUCAUAGAGGGUGAGAAUCCCGUCUGAUGAGAUGCCCAUUCCUAUGUAAGGUGCUAUCGAAGAGUCGAGUUGUUUGGGAAUGCAGCUCUAAGUGGGUGGUAAAUUCCAUCUAAAGCUAAAUAUUGGCGAGAGACCGAUAGCGAACAAGUACAGUGAUGGAAAGAUGAAAAGAACUUUGAAAAGAGAGUGAAAAAGUACGUGAAAUUGUUGAAAGGGAAGGGCAUUAGAUCAGACUUGGUGUUUUACGAUUAUCUUCUCUUCUUGAGUUGUGCACUCGUAUUUCACUGGGCCAGCAUCGAUUCGGAUGGCAAGAUAAUGACAGUUGAAUGUGGCUUCACUUCGGUGAAGUGUUAUAGCUUCUGUUGAUAUUGCCUGUCUGGAUCGAGGGCUGCGUCUUUUGACUAGGAUGCUGGCGUAAUGAUCUAAUGCCGC